GAUCCUGGCUCAGGACGAACGCUGGCGGCAUGCCUAAUACAUGCAAGUCGAACGAUGAUAUCACUGCUUGCAGUGAUUGAUUAGUGGCGAACGGGUGAGUAACACGUGAGGAACUUGCCCAUGAGCGGGGGACAACAUUCGGAAACGGAUGCUAAUACCCCAUAGGUGGAUUGGUCGCAUGACGAAUUCAUUAAAGGUGGCUUUGCUACCACUCAUGGAUAGCCUCGCGG
rnacentral:rRNA from 1 species